CAGCGAUUACAGAAGAGGCAGAUGUGUUAUAUGUUACUACAUAACCUGACUGCAGUCUUUCUAAACAUCUAUACAUUGAAAAUUAUCUCACUGUAUAUUUGUGACUACUGAGUUAGAGUCUAGACUAUAAUUACUGACACGUUUCUGGAUAAUUCUUUAUUCAACAAAACAAGCAAAAUGAAAUACCUGUUCACGGUGGUUGUUGCUGUGUUCGUUGGAUGUGCUGUUGCUGAAAAUUGCAUUCACGACAGUGUUACAUACAACAAAGGAGACCUUGUUCCGUUCAACGAUUGCAACAAUUGCCUCUGUGUUGGGCCUAAUAUACAAUGCGAUUUAAAGCCGUGCAAGAAAAUACUAGAAGACAAAUGUGAACUCAAUGGAAAGAAAUACAAGAAAGGAUCCCAAGUAAAGUUUAACGAGUGCAACGAGUGCCACUGUGUUGGGCCUAAUCUAAAAUGUGACAUAAAGCCAUGCACUCCAAAACCUGAGGUCACGUGUCAACACAAU